UACCAGCUCUCCGAGUGGUAGGGAUGAUUAUUGGGCUUAAAGCAUCCGUAGCCGGCUUAGCAAGUCUCCUGUUAAAUUCAGCGACCUAAUCGUUGAGCCGCGGGAGAUACUACUAGGCUAGGAGGCGGGAGAGGUCAACGGUACUUCCGAGGUAGGGGUGAAAUCCUAUAAUCCCGGGAGGACCACCAGUGGCGAAGGCUGUUGACUAGAACGCGCUCGACGGUGAGGGACGAAAGCUGGGGGAGCGAACCGGAUUAGAUACCCGGGUAGUCCCAGCUGUAAACGAUGCGAGCUAGGUGUUGGGGUGGCUACGUGCCACUUCAGUGCCGCAGGGAAGCCAUUAAGCCCGCCGCCUGGGGAUACGGCCGCAAGGCUGAAACUUAAGGAAUUGGCGGGGGAGCACCACAAGGCGUGAAGCUUGCGGUUC
rnacentral:rRNA from 1 species